CAGAGCCGAUUCGUGUUGUAAAGCCCACAAGGCAGUUCGACGAGAUUGCGACUGGAACGAAGUUGUCCUGAGGGACGGGGAAGCGCUUCAACGUAGCAGCCAGCAGACAGUUACAGCCUACUGAGUCGUCCAACGGCAUCCACGAGCCGGUAAACGCCAAAUGACCCGAUCAUUUGCAGCAGCUGUAGUCAAACGCACUGUUC
rnacentral:ncRNA from 1 species